GCAACCGCGACGGCCCGCGCGCGGAACGACACCCUGAGGGGGCGAGUCUGUGGCGCCAACGGCCGGAGCGCAGCCGGGCCCGCCAGGGGACACCUCCCGGCCCGCCAGGGGACACCUCCCGGCCCGCAGGUCUCUCGCGCUAAAUAACGGAUGAAAACACGGCCCCUGACCUGCGGCUCCAAGCGGGACGGCCUGAGGGACCUCCCGGGUGUAUGUGUGUGUGUGUCCCGUGUCCUGCUUCAAAGCAAGUGUCAGAUUUAUUUACAGUGUGGUGUUUCAGAGAUUUUUGGGCAUGCACAUCCAAGCUUUUCUUUUUAAUCGCAGCCCAUUUGUGUGUAGUGUUAGUCCAAGCUCUGAUGCUUUGAGACCGCUCAUACGAGAACAGCUGGCAAUGGCGCCCGCGCCUAUGGGACCCCCAGCAGGUCGCUGCAUCAAAGGGCUGCAGCUUAACAGAGCCCUCGUGAGAAGAUCAAACAGGAUUUCGCAAAAAGAAAUCAUCGUCUGGAGGAUUUGCGGGACUGUUUCAACGCGUUCCAUGUCCUGGCAAACACAAAGGAACAAAUGUCAUAGGACAAAACCAAUGAAACCACAGAGACUCGCGAUGUGUACACACUGGAGACAAAUGUCUGCGGUGGCAGCUCGAGCAGAUUAGCGUCCAGCUUCAUCUAGUGAGGUUCUGCAGUUUCAACAAACAAAAAAUGUUUAUUAAAUGUCGCAGUCUGGAAAAAUAAGCCGACUUCUCUUCACAACGGUCAGCGAUGUUGCUAUGCCAAUCUAUUUCCGGCGCAGUUCCUGUCUGCUACGCCAGCGAUGACGGCAAUUUCUUCAAGUUGAUUUUGAUGACAAGCACUCUUAAGGUUCCCACAAACGUGCACAACUUCUCCUCGGGACAUUCCUGACACAGGCCAGUGCUCUUACAGGUGCCAUCAGAUACAUCUGAGCACACCUAAACACAGUAUCCCUGCACGGGACGUGAACCAGCAAGGAAACUCUUCCGUGUGUGUGUGACCAAGGCCAGUAUUUCAAGGGAUGAAAGUUCCUUUGGGCUCUGAAGUGAGAGCUGUGCAUCUGCUGCAGUUUGAACAAUUCUCACUGUUAGCGUGAGCUGACUCCACGCUGGCUCCUCGCAGUGCUGUCACCUCGGUGCUAUUUGCUGGACAAGGCUCUGAGCUCCCGUCUCUGUUUUCCAAAUGCCCUCGGCAGUCAUGACUUCAUUUAUCUUUUCUUGGCCACAAUCUGAAGCAUAUCUUGCCACCACAGAGAUGGAGUAUGGAUGUUUGGCUGUAUUAGGCUGUGUAGCUGAUCAUAUGUUUUAGUUAAUCUAAAUGGCAAAGAAGGUACAUUUUAUAAACACAUGAGAAUUCUGUUUGAACACAUAAAUUGCCUUCCCUUUACUAAUUUAAACCUAGUAGAACACUCCGCAAAAUUAUCAUUCAUAUAUCAAGUAAUUUGAGGGGGAAGAAUCUCUCCUGAGUGCACGGCUCAACUGUGCUUUCUGCGCAGCCUGGCAGCAAACGGGCUCGUUUUCUACACGCCCCAUCUUUGUUCCUCUGGAACCGGCUGAUCCGUUGCAAAGAGCUGACUAGGAUUACAAACAAAACAAAACACAAACCCGCACCAAAAAAGCCAAAUCCCAAGAAUCCUCAGUAUAAGCGAUGUACUCAAUGAGGCAUGCGCUCAUCAGCUCUGGGGUUGUAAACACGGAAAAUUGGUCUGCUCUCUGCGCUGUGUGACCUGGCAGAACAAGCAAAGCGGGCAAAGGAGGAGUUGCGGUAAGGCCCAGAAAUAAAAUCUGCCUGGUUUGGUUUUUUCCUUUUCCCUUAUGAGAGGAGUAAGUAAUUUUCUUUCGAUGUGGUGUUGAUUUGUGAUUAAGGGAAGUGUGUAUUUGGGGGGAGAAAUGAGGUGUGUUUCCAGUACUAUGAGAAAAUACAAUUUCUCUGUUCUGUAACAUGCUGUGCUUUACAGAAUAGAAGUUCCUUCCUGACGUUCUUUGGGAGCCUGAGGAUGCAGUUAGUGUGAGAAAAGUUAGAAAUUCCCUAGACACAGAUAUUAUGUAGAACAGUGAUUCCCCUUUGAGAGGGGAAUUCUUGAGUUCUGCUGAACUGGAAGAUUGGUGUGAAAUCAACGGAAGAGGAAUUAAAACUGGAAGAAAGCCAUCUGAAAUCUCUACGGAUUCUAAAAAUAAAGUGAAGAUUUAUACUGCAGUCUUAACUUCUGCAAGACAAAUUUUAAACUAAAGCAAAAUAGUUGUUUAUUGGUUGUGAUGUGAGACUCCAGUGCUGUCAAAUUAAAUAGGUAUUUAUCUAGCCUUCCUAAAUUGUUUUCCGAGAUGGCUUGGUAAAACUUGUUCUGGCAGGUUGGCACAGGAAUUCCCAGGGAAUAGUUAGGGAUGGCUAAUAGCUGUGUAUUGACUAGCAGGUGACGACACCAGAGAUGUUAACUGGGCCUUGUGGCAUGUGGAUUUCCACACUGAAGCAGGAUUACAGACCUUCCUGAUGAAGGGACACGGGUAAUGAAUGCUCUAGACACAAGCAGUCUGCCCACUGCAAUUGGACACCCAGCUUUUUUUUACAAAUUAUUUGAACGGGGAAUUCAUGUUGCUUUUUACCUCAUCUGUUUUGGAAGAAGCACACACGGCAGAGGACUCUGAGACGGGGGCUGCUUGCCGCUCCUCUCUCCUGCGGGCCAGAUGCUGCUGCCCAUUCCAUGCCAGGACAGCAAUUCAGCUUCGGUUUCACGCAUGGAACAGCUGAAUUCUGCUUGUGAAACUGAAGCCAGGGCUUGUCCAGCUGCGGUGGAAAUCUGCAUUUGAAACUGAAAGGAAUUAAUGAGCCUGCAUCUAGUUUCUUUUCUUCCUUUGCCAUAUACUGCAGGAAAAUUGGAUUAUUUUUUAAAAAAGGGCAAUUCAUUAUUCCUGUAAGAACAAGUGGAGCUGAUGUACUUACACGGCAGAACAGUCUUAUAGUUUGUAUGUACUGACUUCCACGCUACCUACUUGGAUAAUUCAUGGAUUCGUUGCAGAGACAGGAUAAAAUCUGCAAAAAUAACUAGCAGUUUUGGAUAGUUCAGUUUCCACAGAGGUCGAAGGCAUUCACUGUUCAAACCCGCUUCACUCCUCUUGGACAAUUUGUACGCUCUGAUGAUUUUUGUUGAUAAGCACUUAGUCCCAGGAAGCUGGGCAGAGUCUUAGCAGGUAAUUUCACCAUUACCUAUUUUUUUUAGGAUUCUCCUAGUUUCCUUCUGUUGCUUUUCCCAAUGUUCUGUAACAUUGGUUUGCAAACUGUGCCUCUAAACAAAGAAAACACUUUCCUUGCGGCUUUUGAAAAUCACUUCCUGAGAGACUGUUCCAUUCCAUUCUCUGAAAAAGGAUUUCCACCCUAGGACAGAAGUCUUUCUGAGCCCUGAGAGUGCUGUUUCUCCAGGGCUAGCAGCACGCCUGUGUCCCUAUGGCUCGGCAAACGCUCAGCUGCCUCUGCAAGGCUCUCCUGUGCUGUGGGCCCGGCCCGGCCUGCCUUGGGACAGGCGGCGGAGUCGCUCCAGGCCCUUCCUCUUCACGACUUCAGCUCCGCUGCUCACCAGGUUUUAUGUCUGAGGUCAGCUUGGAAAAGAACAAUGGGGCUUUUCCAUUAUGUAUUCUUUAAGAAUUUGUGUGUUCUGUUCUUUAAACCAAUGUCAAGAUUUCCUUCUCUGGUCUGAUCAAAACGCGCGUGCUAUUUUAAAGAUCUCAGGUUGGCAAUAAAUACAGGGAAGUUAUAUAACAGUUGGAGUUUGGCAUAAAUGCAGGAAUUACUAGAAUUAUUCUGCCACACUACACGGAACUCAUCCAGCCAAAUCCAAACAGCAAUUAUUACUAAAUGUCUGCAUUUCUCUAGCCCCUCAGGACACCAGAUUUUAAUUUAGCCUCACAACCAACCUGACAUGAAAGUAAAUUUGGCCUUGUUCUGCAGUUGCUGUCCGCAUACAUACUUGAACUCAUCGAGUUUGCUUGCCCGUGCUGGACUUUGUGUGCGCCAUAGUUAGGUGGGUAUGACAAUUAGUAUUAACUUUUGCAUCGGUGGGUUUAACUGACUGGUCAGAAGUCACGCAGUGACUAGCGCUUGGGUCUCCAAAGCAGAGCGCCGGGUCAAACCACAAGACCAUCUGGUUUUCCCUCUGAACGGCGUUUAAACACCACAGAAUGUCUGCUGCAAAGACGCACGUUCUUCCCUUUCCCACACACUGGGAUUUGGCUGUGAAUCCUGUAGCAUCCAUCUCCUUUCCUCCACUCAGCAGUAGAAAAACUGGGCAUUGCAUAAGCAAAAAGACAGGUGCUACAAAUGCCUUAUACAUGGGAUAUUUUUCCCCCACUAACAAGGAUCUCCCACUGCUCUAACAUUUACAGGUUUGUCACCUCCAACCAGAUUUUUGUAGAGCGCAUCACGUCCUGCAUACUGAACGCCUGCUUGUAACAGCCUUCUUCCAGCUGCACUUCAUUACCUUCACCAGGUUACUUUUUUUCCUAGGUUUAAAAUUGUCCCUUUUGCUUUCUCCCCGGGCCACAGUCCCAAAGCCAGAGUUGGUGUUGCUUGCCUCCACCUCUUCCUCAGCAGUCUCUCUAAAGCCCUUGGCCCUGGCCGCCACUUAUGGCAGCCUGCCCGCCGUACCCCUCAGCUGCUCCGGGCACAUGCCGUGUCUUUCUUCUCCAAACGCGUACAACUGUGCUGCUAUUUUGCCGCCCCAGAGCGAGGUCAUCUGCUGCAGAGGCUGGAAGUGGUCCUGGGAGACGUCGCCUUCCACUGCCCACCCUGCGAGCAGGACCUGCGCCAGGUGACCCGCUCCUGCGCCUCCCGGAUUGCCUGCAGCACGAGUGGCCAGCCCCCACCUGACGGGUUCAUUGCACGACUUUCAGCUCAGCUGGGCACUGCCUCGGCUGUCCCCUCCUACUGUUACUGAGGACAAAGGACUGUAAUCACACGCAUCCAGCCGAGGGCAUAUCCAGCGCAGGAGGAAUAAAAGGAACUCUGUUGCGGUAUGUUAGCGCUAGAGCUUCCUGCCAAACCACCAAUUCCACAGUCUGUUGGUCUGAGAAUGUGCCGCACCGCCUCGGGCUCCCAGCGCUGACAUGCAAAUGUUUUGGAAAGGCCCUGAUGGAAAUCCCUGGAGCAAAUAGUCGGAAUAUGCAAGAACUGCAGGAGCAUAACAAUCUCAGGAUGGUGCCGGCCAGACCUGCAGCAAGAAUUUCCCAGCUAGGAGCAUCGGCUCAAUUAUCUUCACUUGGCCACUGCCAGGAACUACCAGUGGGCCAACCGAUUUUGGAAAACUGUAACAGCUUUCCAGACUCCUGACACACCGAUCCUUAAACAACGAGACCCAGAAGAAUGAGAAUGAAACUGAGAAAGCUAGAUAAAAAUCCAGUGGGACUUGCCCUUGUCUGCACCUUCUUAGUUCUAAAAGGCGUAUCCUAUUGCAAGAUAAAAAGAAAGGAAAAAAAAGCAAGGGAGCAGUGCACAGCAAGCUUCGAUUCGAAAAGCAGUUCAUCCUGCGCAUAAAGGAGUUUGGUUGCUGCAGCAAAAAUAGCCCUUCAGCCUUAAAAGUGUGGCCCGAGAGUUACCAGAGAAAGGGUUAAAUAAAAGCUCGACAGAGUUAGCAAA